UGUAUGUGUUUUGUUCUUGUUCAAUAAGACCAAACCUAGAUUUUGCAAUAUCUAAGGUAAUAUCGUUCUGGUGUUGAUUCAAAGAAAAACAAUGGGCAGGUUAAUUAUUUAAAUUAUUUCUCCAUCCAGUGGCUAAAUUCUUUAAGAAAGAUUAUGUUCGUCAUUUUUAAAUAUCAUCAAAUUUACAAAUCUAGGAAAUGUUUGUUAAAAACUAUGAACAAAUAUUUCUCGUCAUUGUUUUCUGUUAAAAAUUGCUGAAAAUAGGGAACAAUUUGAAACAAAGAAUAUAUAAAUAGAAAGAUAAGGAU
rnacentral:lncRNA from 1 species